rnacentral:snoRNA from 1 species
GGGACAAUGAUGAUUUUCAAAUAUGCAUUCCUCGGAAUGCUGAUAAAAAAUGGAUGACAACUCUAUAUCAUCAAAUUCAGGUCC